AUCCUUUUGUAGUUCAUAAGCAUGAUAACUGGGUGUUCGUGCCAGUUUGUGACACAUGCCUCCCUCAAACCUUGUUACGACCUUAGCACCGAGGUUACCCGUCUGACG
ensembl:snoRNA